UACAGAGGUCCCAAGCGUUGUUCGGAUUCAUUGGGCGUAAAGGGUGCGUAGGUGGCGCCGUAAGUGGGGUGUGAAAUUUCGGAGCUUAACUCCGAAACUGCAUUCCAUACUGCGGUGCUUGAGGACUGGAGAGGAGACUGGAAUUCAUGGUGUAGCAGUGAAAUGCGCAGAUAUCAGGAGGAACACCGAUGGCGAAGGCAGGUCUCUGGGCCGAUACUGACGCUGAGGAGCGAAAGCGUGGGGAGCGAACAGG
rnacentral:rRNA from 1 species